rnacentral:rRNA from 1 species
UAAAUUGUUCAUUAAUUGUGGACUGGAAUGAAAGAAAAAAUGGUUUAAGACUGUCUUAAAAUUAUCGAUUGAAUUUUAAUUUUUUGUAAAAAUGCAAAAAUUCUAUUUAGGGACAAGAAGACCCUAUAAAGCUUAUUUGAAUUUUAAUAUAACUAAAUAUAUUAAUUUAAUUUGGUUGGGGCAAUAAUUUAUAUUUAAUUAAUAUAAAUAUUUUAUACUUAAAAAAAUUUUUAAUAAAAUGAUCCAUUAUUAAUGAUAAUCUGAUUAAGUUACUUUAGGGAUAACAGGAUAAUUUUUAUUAGAAAGUUCUUAUUAAUAAUAAAGUUUAUUACCUCGAUGUUGAAUUAAUUUAAUUUGAUGGUGAAGCAACUAUUUGAAUUUGACUGUUCGUCAAUUAAAUAAUUACAUGAUCUGAGUUC